UUCCUGAAGUUUAAUAAAAAGCCAUCUUCAUAACAUAAACAUGAAAAGUGAAGCAGUAAGUGCUGAUGUGGAAGCUGCAGCAAGUUAUCCAGAUGAUCUA